rnacentral:rRNA from 1 species
UGGGGAAUUUUGGACAAUGGACGCAAGUCUGAUCCAGCCAUGCCGCGUGCGGGAAGAAGGCCUUCGGGUUGUAAACCGCUUUUGUCAGGGAAGAAACGAGUUUCUCUAAUACAGAGACUUAAUGACGGUACCUGAAGAAUAAGCACCGGCUAACUACGUGCCAGCAGCCGCGGUAAUACGUAGGGUGCGAGCGUUAAUCGGAAUUACCGGGCGUAAAGCGUGCGCAAGCGGUUAUAUAAGACAGAUGUGAAAUCCCCGGGCUCAACCUGGGAACUGCCUUUGUGACUGCAUAGCUAGAGUACGGUAGAGGGGGAUGGAAUUCCGCGUGUAGCAGUGAAAUGCGUAGAUAUGCGGAGGAACACCGAUGGCGAAGGCAAUCCCCUGGACCUGUACUGACGCUCAUGCACGAAAGCGUGGGGAGCAAACA